AAACCAAGGGUAUUAGAGAUAUUUUAUCCUUUAAUGAAUGUCAUUUUUGUGACUUUCUCCUUCUAGUGCUAUUUUUGAGACAUAAACUUCAAAAGGUGCUAUUAUUGACAAUUGUCCUUUAUAAAUGCUAGAUACAAUAAGAAGACAUUUGAAAGAAAAUUGAAAUCAUCUCAAAUCCUUGAUUCAAUAAGACACCUUUAAUUCAGGACUCUCUCUUCUCUCUUCAAAAUCUUUCAGAGAGAGAGAGAGAGAGAGCCUUAGAUUAACUCGCUGGAUUUGUUACCGGCGUUAAGACUCCUGGUGUUUGGGCUUCGACUCUGGCAAACGAUGUCUCCUAUGGCACCGUCUUGGCCGGCUUUCGCCUCUGAGAAGCGGUGGUUUUCACAACAUCGUCUUGGCCGGCUUACCUCUAGCCUUUGCUUCUCCGAUUCAUCUUCUAUGUUUAUCGGCCAGCUUUUUUUUUGUUUUGGAAUUUUGUUUAAUAGUUUUAAUUUUCUUUCAAUCUACGUUUCUCUGUUUUUUAAAGUUUCAAUCAGAUCAAAAAUUUUGAUCGAUUUGUUCUCAUCCUUCCAUAUUUGAUAGGAUUUAAUCAUCUUCAAGCUUACUUAAAUUUUCAAAGAUGAUUCGAUUUGCAUUGCUUUUCUUUGCUUCAUGUUUCUGAUUUGCUUCCGGUGGAACGCCGACUAGACCGUCCGGCAAUAACUUUUCUUUGGGUGAAGCUAUGUGACGCCUCUGCUCCAAGACACGUGUCCUCCUUCAACACGUGUGAGCCUUCGUGGCUGGUCACUGUCUUCCGUUAGCCGUCUCUUGUUUCUGGGCUUUGGGUAUCUUGUGUAUUUUCUUAUGUUUGCCCUUUUAGGCUUUUAGUUGUAAAUGUUUGUCCAUUAAUAAUACUAGAUGACAAAAAAAAAAUAAGACCCCUUUAGUUUUUACUACAAAUGUUUUCUUAAUGUACAUUUUUUUUUUCUUCCA